AUCCAGCUGACGAGUCCCAAAUAGGACGAGACGUUCGUCCUGAAU
rfam:Schistosoma rodhaini strain Burundi genome assembly, scaffold: SROB_scaffold0002552